GGAGAGCACCUGCUUUGCAAGCAGGGGGUCAUCGGUUCGAUCCCGAUAGGCUCC
rnacentral:tRNA from 1 species